CACGGAGGGUGCGAGCGUUGUCCGGAAUCACUGGGCGUAAAGGGCGCGUAGGCGGCCUGAUAAGUAGGGGGUGAAAUCUUGCGGCUUAACCGCAAGGCUGCCUUCUAAACUGUCAGGCUAGAGCACAGUAGAGGCAGGUGGAAUUCCCGGUGUAGCGGUGGAAUGCGUAGAGAUCGGGAAGAACAUCAGUGGCGAAGGCGGCCUGCUGGGCUGUUGCUGACGCUGAGGCGCGACAGCGUGGGGAGCAAACAGG
rnacentral:rRNA from 1 species